rnacentral:rRNA from 1 species
GACGAACGCUGGCGGCGUGCUUAACACAUGCAAGUCGAACGAAGUGGCGAACGGGUGAGUAACGCGUAAUCAACCUGCCCUUCAGAGGGGGACAACAGUUGGAAACGACUGCUAAUACCGCAUACUGAAGGAGGGGAUUGCGUCUGAUUUGCUAGUCGGGGGGGUAACGGCCCACCAAGGCGAAGAUCAGUAGCCGGUCUGGGGGGAUGGACGGCCACAUUGGGACUGGGGCACGGCCCAGACCCCUACGGGAGGCAGCAGUGGGGAAUCUUCCGCAAUGGGCGAAAGUCUGACUGAGCAACGCCGCGUGGGUGAUGACAGCCUUCGGGUUGUAAAGGUCUGUUAAUCGGGACGCGGUACCGGAAUAGAAAGCCACGGCUAACUACGUGCCAGCAGCCGCGGUAAUAC